rnacentral:rRNA from 1 species
UAGGGAAUCUUCCACAAUGGGCGCAAGCCUGACGGAGCAACACCGCGUGAGUGAAGAAGGGUUUCGGCUCGUAAAGCUCUGUUGUUAAAGAAGAACACGUAUGAGAGUAACUGUUCAUACGUUGACGGUAUUUAACCAGAAAGUCACGGCUAACUACGUGCUAG